GACGAACGCUGGCGGCGUGCCUAAUACAUGCAAGUUGAGCGAUGAAGAUUGGUGCUUGCACCAAUUUGAAGAGCAGCGAACGGGUGAGUAACGCGUGGGGAAUCUGCCUUUGAGCGGGGGACAACAUUUGGAAACGAAUGCUAAUACCGCAUAACAACUUUAAACAUAAGUUUUAAGUUUGAAAGAUGCAAUUGCAUCACUCAAAGAUGAUCCCGCGUUGUAUUAGCUAGUUGGUGAGGUAAAGGCUCACCAAGGCGAUGAUACAUAGCCGACCUGAGAGGGUGAUCGGCCACAUUGGGACUGAGACACGGCCCAAACUCCUACGGGAGGCAGCAGUAGGGAAUCUUCGGCAAUGGACGAAAGUCUGACCGAGCAACGCCGCGUGAGUGAAGAAGGUUGUCGGAUCGUAAAACUCUGUUGGUAGAGAAGAACGUUGGUGAGAGUGGAAAGCUCAUCAAGUGACGGUAACUACCCAGAAAGGGACGGCCAACUACGUG
rnacentral:rRNA from 1 species